AUUGAACGCUGGCGGCAGGCCUAACACAUGCAAGUCGAGCGGAUGAAGGGAGCUUGCUCCUGGAUUCAGCGGCGGACGGGUGAGUAAUGCCUAGGAAUCUGCCUGGUAGUGGGGGAUAACGUCCGGAAACGGGCGCUAAUACCGCAUACGUCCUGAGGGAGAAAGUGGGGGAUCUUCGGACCUCACGCUAUCAGAUGAGCCUAGGUCGGAUUAGCUAGUUGGUGGGGUAAAGGCCUACCAAGGCGACGAUCCGUAACUGGUCUGAGAGGAUGAUCAGUCACACUGGAACUGAGACACGGUCCAGACUCCUACGGGAGGCAGCAGUGGGGAAUAUUGGACAAUGGGCGAAAGCCUGAUCCAGCCAUGCCGCGUGGGUGAAGAAGGUCUUCGGAUUGUAAAGCACUUUAAGUGGGGAGGAAGGGCAGUAAGUUAAUACCUUGCUGUUUUGACGUUACCAACAGAAUAAGCACCGGCUAACUUCGUG
rnacentral:rRNA from 1 species